UACGUAGGGGGCUAGCGUUGUCCGGAUUUAUUGGGCGUAAAGAGCGUGUAGGCGGCCAGGUAGGUCUGCUGUGAAAACUCGAGGCUCAACCUCGAGACGUCGGCGGAAACCAUCUGGCUAGAGUCCGGAAGAGGAGAGUGGAAUUCCUGGUGUAGCGGUGAAAUGCGUAGAUAUCAGGGGGAACACCUGUGGCGAAAGCGGCGCACUGGACCACAACUGACGCUGAGGCGCGAAAGCUAGGGGAGCAAACAGG
rnacentral:rRNA from 1 species